AUGCACGCUGGCGGCGUGCCUAAUACCUGCCAGUCGAGCGAACGGACGAGAAGCUUGCUUUUCUGAUGUUAGCGGCGGACGGGUGAGUAACACGUGGAUAACCUACCUAUAAGACUGGGAUAACUUCGGGAAACCGGAGCUAAUACCGGAUAAUAUUUUGAACCGCAUGGUUCAAAAGUGAAAGACGGUCUUGCUGUCACUUAUAGAUGGAUCCGCGCUGCAUUAGCUAGUUGGUAAGGUAACGGCUUACCAAGGCAACGAUGCAUAGCCGACCUGAGAGGGUGAUCGGCCACACUGGAACUGAGACACGGUCCAGACUCCUACGGGAGGCAGCAGUAGGGAAUCUUCCGCAAUGGGCGAAAGCCUGACGGAGCAACGCCGCGUGAGUGAUGAAGGUCUUCGGAUCGUAAAACUCUGUUAUUAGGGAAGAACAUAUGUGUAAGUAACUGUGCACAUCUUGACGGUACCUAAUCAGAAAGCCACGGCUAACUACGUG
rnacentral:rRNA from 1 species